UACGAAGGGUGCAAGCGUUACUCGGAAUUACUGGGCGUAAAGCGUGCGUAGGCGGUUUGUUAAGUCCGUUGUGAAAGCCCUGGGCUCAACCUGGGAAUUGCAGUGGAUACUGGCGAGCUAGAGUGCGGUAGAGGAUGGUGGAAGUUCCCGGUGUAGCGGUGAAAUGCGUAGAGAUCGGGAGGAACACCCGUGGCGAAGGCGGCUCUCUGGGACGGUACGUGACGCUGAGACGCGAAAGCGUGGGGAGCGAACG
rnacentral:rRNA from 1 species